AGAGUUUGAUCAUGGCUCAGAUUGAACGCUGGCGGCAGGCCUAACACAUGCAAGUCGAACGGUAACAGGAAACAGCUUGCUGUUUCGCUGACGAGUGGCGGACGGGUGAGUAAUGUCUGGGAAACUGCCUGAUGGAGGGGGAUAACUACUGGAAACGGUAGCUAAUACCGCAUAACGUCGCAAGACCAAAGAGGGGGACCUUCGGGCCUCUUGCCAUCAGAUGUGCCCAGAUGGGAUUAGCUAGUAGGUGGGGUAACGGCUCACCUAGGCGACGAUCCCUAGCUGGUCUGAGAGGAUGACCAGCCACACUGGAACUGAGACACGGUCCAGACUCCUACGGGAGGCAGCAGUGGGGAAUAUUGCACAAUGGGCGCAAGCCUGAUGCAGCCAUGCCGCGUGUAUGAAGAAGGCCUUCGGGUUGUAAAGUACUUUCAGCGGGGAGGAAGGGAGUAAAGUUAAUACCUUUGCUCAUUGACGUUACCCACAGAAGAAGCACCGGCUAACUCCGUGCCAGCAGCCGCGGUAAUACGGAGGGUGCAAGCGUUAAUCGGAAUUACUGGGCGUAAAGCGCACGCAGGCGGUUUGUUAAGUCAGAUGUGAAAUCCCCGGGCUCAACCUGGGAACUGCAUCUGAUACUGGCAAGCUUGAGUCUCGUAGAGGGGGGUAGAAUUCCAGGUGUAGCGGUGAAAUGCGUAGAGAUCUGGAGGAAUACCGGUGGCGAAGGCGGCCCCCUGGACGAAGACUGACGCUCAGGUGCGAAAGCGUGGGGAGCAAACAGGAUUAGAUACCCUGGUAGUCCACGCCGUAAACGAUGUCGACUUGGAGGUUGUGCCCUUGAGGCGUGGCUUCCGGAGCUAACGCGUUAAGUCGACCGCCUGGGGAGUACGGCCGCAAGGUUAAAACUCAAAUGAAUUGACGGGGGCCCGCACAAGCGGUGGAGCAUGUGGUUUAAUUCGAUGCAACGCGAAGAACCUUACCUGGUCUUGACAUCCACGGAAGUUUUCAGAGAUGAGAAUGUGCCUUCGGGAACCGUGAGACAGGUGCUGCAUGGCUGUCGUCAGCUCGUGUUGUGAAAUGUUGGGUUAAGUCCCGCAACGAGCGCAACCCUUAUCCUUUGUUGCCAGCGGUCCGGCCGGGAACUCAAAGGAGACUGCCAGUGAUAAACUGGAGGAAGGUGGGGAUGACGUCAAGUCAUCAUGACCCUUACGACCAGGGCUACACACGUGCUACAAUGGCGCAUACAAAGAGAAGCGACCUCGCGAGAGCAAGCGGACCUCAUAAAGUGCGUCGUAGUCCGGAUUGGAGUCUGCAACUCGACUCCAUGAAGUCGGAAUCGCUAGUAAUCGUGGAUCAGAAUGCCACGGUGAAUACGUUCCCGGGCCUUGUACACACCGCCCGUCACACCAUGGGAGUGGGUUGCAAAAGAAGUAGGUAGCUUAACCUUCGGGAGGGCGCUUACCACUUUGUGAUUCAUGACUGGGGUGAAGUCGAAACAAGGUAACCGUAGGGGACCUGCGGUUG
rnacentral:rRNA from 1 species